rnacentral:tRNA from 1 species
GGUGAGGUACCCAAGUGGCUGAAGGGGCGGGUUUGCUAAACCUGUAGAUCGGAGUAAUCCGGUGCGAGAGUUCGAAUCUCUCCCUCACCGCCA